rnacentral:rRNA from 1 species
CCUACGGGAGGCAGCAGUCAGGAAUAUUGCGCAAUGGAGGAAACUCUGACGCAGUGAUGCCGCGUGCAUGAAGAAGGUUUUCGGAUUGUAAACCGCUUUCGACAGUGACGAUAAUAGACAGUACCUGUAGAAUAAGCUCCGCCUAACUACGUGCCAGCAGCCGCGGUAAUACGUAGGGAGCAAGCGUUAUCCGGAUUUAUUGGGUGUAAAGGAUGCGUAGACGGAGAAGCAAGUUAGUUGUGACAUCCCUGGGCUUAACUGAGGAACUGCAACUAAAACUACUUACCUUGAGUACUGGAGAGGAUAGUGGAAUUCCUAGUGUAGAGGUGAAAUGCGUAGAUAUUAGGAGGAACACCAGUGGCGAAGGCGACUAUCUGGACAGUAACUGACGUUGAGGCACGAAAGUAUGGGGAGCAAACAGGAUUAGAUACCCUAGUAGUC